CAUAACUGUUUUUUCUAUCUUCUCAGCUCCAACUGAAUCUAUUCAAGUCCAGUUGUUUACAAGUGGUUGCAGCUUCAUUGUCUCCAUGGUUGUUUAAGUCCAAUCUUGCUGCUACAAACCUUUCAGGAUACAUGCUGCUUCUGUUUUCUGUUUCUCUUUCAAGUCCAAUGGACAUGGAUAAGUUGCCAGGACCGGUUUCAGCGGCAUAGUUUCUUCUUUCUUCAUUCCUGCUCAAUGGGGCAAGGAAGGUGUUCUUUUUUCCAUCAUCACACCACUUGAGUUCACAGUUCCUAAGGUUGUUGGGAGCUUCUGUGGCUUCCUUUUGUUCCAUGAACAUAUGGCUGUUGAAGUGUCUAAAGCCAUUUUGAAUCUCUUGCUCCUUCUGUGAUCUGUCACAGGAUGUGAGGCAACUGUCCACUGAGCAAUCGUUUGGCUGGUUGGUGUGUGUUUGCUGAGGGCAAAAUCCUUGCAAUUCCUUCAGCUCUGAGAAUGCUGAGUUAAGGCACUGAGAUGAGACUUUUGACACCAGCUCUGACAGUUGAACUUUGGCAGUUUCAAGUCCAACUAUUCCCAAAUUUUGUCUGCCAAGAGUCUCCUGAGCUUUCUCCAACACAGACUGAAGCGCCUCGCUUAUAUGCAAAUCUCUGCAUAAAGAGCAUAGAAAAUUACCAUCACUUCCACAAACAAGAUUACAUGAAGCAUGUGAAAAAUGUUCAGUUUUUCUUACUUGUUAGCCUGCGGUCCAAGGCUUAAUUUGUUCAUGUGAGUUCCACUGGUUUCAGAAAGUCUCUCCCCAGUUGCUGCACUUGUUGCUGAUAAGAUUCUUGCUCAAUCUAUACUUCUGAUGACAAAAGGAAAACAAUAUCAGUAAUUGCACCAGUGUAUAAUUGAUAUAAAGUAAUUUUGGUCAGCACGUACCUGAAGAUGGCUCUUCAAAUGAUAUAAGGUGACGUGUGUACUCACUGUCAGCUCCACCUAACUGAUUGACUGCUUCUAUAAAUCUGGCAUGAAGAUCUGCUGUCCAUUUUAAUCUUGGCUUAGCAUCAGUUGAAAGCACAAGUCCAGAAUCUCCAGAACCAUUUCCUGUUUGAAGGAACAUGUGCCUCUCAGAAGGGAUUGGCAUUCUGGAAGAAGAAUGAAUGUUUUUUCCUUGGUGUUGGUGAUGAUGGUAAAAGUGGGAAUCAUAUGCUCACAUUUGAAGGAGUAUUUCCUUUUUUUUCUGACUUGGUUCUGGAGAAUCUGAUAUCCCUCUCGACUUGGAACAGCCAUUAUUUUUGUUUUAGAGGAAGAUUCUUAGAACUUAGAAGCCUAAAUUUGUUGUUUCAAACCUUGAUCUUGCUGCCAUUUUACAAGUCCUUUCUUAAUGUACAUACAUAGUUCUUUAUUAGCAUGAUAUAUGAGGUUGGGCAAGGUUUAUCUUUGGCAAAGUUUUGAGAGAGAGGUUAUAUAUGAAGAACUGCAGCUGAAGGAUUCCAUUGACUAGAGCACCAUGGCAUGCAAAGGAAGGUUAAAAAAAAUUGUGGAAGAUGCUUCUCAUGGAACUGUUUGGAGGUAAGGAAUAGAAUAAGAAUACGUUCUGUUUUGUCUCCUUCAAUAAGUUUGGUACUUAUUCAGCCUGCACCGUUUAAAAUAUAAGGAAGAUGGACCCUGAACUUUUCAUUCUUUCUUUGGCACAAAACCUCUGGCCCCAUCCUCUGGAAUCCUAAGUAGGCGGGACCUAAUAAAAAGGGAAAGAUAGAAGAAUUGUACUUGCUUUUAUACUUGCAUUUGGUUAAACACAGUACUACUGCAUAGGACCACUUCCCUUGCCCUUGACUUGUACCAUGGUUAAUGUAGCUGAUUCUUGUGUAAGUAUAGGUACAUUUGUCAUUCCUUAUGUUACCACACUCACUUUUUA